GUGCCAGCCGCCGCGGUAAUACGGAGGGUGCAAGCGUUACUCGGAAUCACUGGGCGUAAAGCGCGCGCAGGCGGCCUUUUAAGUUGGAUGUGAAAGCCUAUGGCUCAACCAUAGAACUGCAUCCAAAACUAUUAGGCUAGAGUGUGGGAGAGGAAGAUGGAAUUAGUUGUGUAGGGGUAAAAUCCGUAGAGAUAACUAGGAAUACCAAAAGCGAAGGCAAUCUUCUGGAACAUUACUGACGCUGAGGCGCGAAAGCGUGGGGAGCAAACAGGAUUAGAUACCCUGGUAGUCCACGCCCUAAACGAUGAAUGUUAGUCGUCGGGUAGCUAGUCUAUUCGGUGAUGCAGCUAACGCAUUAAACAUUCCGCCUGGGGAGUACGGUCGCAAGAUUAAAACUCAAAGGAAUAGACGGGGACCCGCACAAGUGGUGGAGCAUGUGGUUUAAUUCGAA
rnacentral:rRNA from 1 species